GUGGGGAAUUUUGGACAAUGGGGGAAACCCUGAUCCAGCCAUUCCGCGUGAGUGAAGAAGGCCUUCGGGUUGUAAAGCUCUUUCAGCUGGAACGAAACGGUACGCUCUAACAUAGCGUGCUAAUGACGGUACCAGCAGAAGAAGCACCGGCUAACUACGUGCCAGCAGCCGCGGUAAUACGUAGGGUGCGAGCGUUAAUCGGAAUUACUGGGCGUAAAGCGUGCGCAGGCGGAUUGUUAAGCAAGACGUGAAAUCCCCGGGCUUAACCUGGGAAUGGCGUUUUGAACUGGCAGUCUAGAGUGUGUCAGAGGGGGGUAGAAUUCCACGUGUAGCAGUGAAAUGCGUAGAGAUGUGGAGGAAUACCAAUGGCGAAGGCAGCCCCCUGGGAUAACACUGACGCUCAUGUACGAAAGCGUGGGUAGCAAACAGGAUUAGAUACCCCAGUAGUCC
rnacentral:rRNA from 1 species